rnacentral:rRNA from 1 species
UUCCUCUUUGAAGAAGAGGUACGGCCUGCUCACUGAGAUUUGAAGAGCCGCAGUAUUUUGACUGUGCUAAGGUAGCAUAAUAAUUAGUCUUUUAAUUGGGGACUAGAAUGAAUGGCUAAACGAGAGGUUAACUUUUUUGUUUUUGAGUAAACGAAUUUUAUUUUUUAGUGAAAAGGCUAAAAUUAUCUAGGAAGACGAGAAGACCCUAUAGAGUUUGAAGAAAGGAUAAAGAUUAUUAGGUGAAUUAGAAGUAUUAUUAAUAAUAUUCUCUUUCUUUUUGUUGGGGCGACAUAGAAUUAUAAAAAACUUUUUAUAAAAUAAACUAUUACUUUAGAGGAAGUUUGAUCCGUUAAAGCGAUUAAAGGAAAAAAUUACCUUAGGGAUAACAGCGUAAUCUUUUUUAAGAGUUCAUAUCGACAAAAAGGUUUGCGACCUCGAUGUUGGACUAAAAUAAAGACAAGGUGCAGUAGUUUUGUUUUUAGGUCUGUUCGACCUUUAGUUUUUUACAUGAUCUGAGUUCAGACCG